rnacentral:lncRNA from 1 species
AAACUUUGGCGGGCACUGUUUUGAGCUAGACCAAGGAAGAGAAGGACUUUUAUGAAGCAGAGGGUUCUGAUGACAGGUGGACUCGGCCCUGUAUUUGUCUCUUCCAUGACAAAUAAGGAGGUGACUUAUGUGUGUACUUCCAUGCUGGGAUGUUCACUUCUGGCAGUGUGAGCACAAACAGACUAAGCAUGCAUCCAGCACGAGCCGACCUUGUUCAGUGUCCUGUAGCAAGUGACUCUCUUCUGCCUCGAAGAGAAAAAAGGGCUCACCUUUCUGAAGAGAACUUGUCAGGCCCAGCAGUGAUGCUACUAUCUGAGGCUACAGGUAAACCAUCGAAAGUGUGGUAGUGUCAAGGAGGCCCCACUCGGCCUGUGGCUCUGUGGAGUGCUGUGGAAUAUUGCUAUGUGUGUUUGAUUAAUCAUGAGGACUCCAGAUUGUCCUGUGCUCAUCUCCCAGUCAUUCCUAGGACUGUAAUGCUGCGCUGUGUGCUCUGAUGCUGCUGGGAACACAGGGGAAAGUCUCAGCCCUGCUAAGGCUGACACUCAAUCGUAAACCAUCAGAACUGUUACUGGGAAAUUGAGCUUGAAGGCAGUCUUUGAUGGAAGGAUCCAGAAAGGAGUGAGAGGAUCUCACCACCAUGCAGAAUCUUCCUCAGGGACAGGGACGCCAUCAGAGGAGGCUUGGUGUAGCUGAUGUAUAGCCUCCGAACCCUCUGGCUUUCAGUGCUGGACUUGGAACUCAGCCUAGGAAGAAAGCCAAUGCCGUGGUGGCCACCUGUUAUGAGCAGAGGCAGAAAAUUAGUUUGGAGCUCUGGGUUUUCUGACCUCAUCCCUCGAAGCCUGGGCUCAACCAGCUGACCAAGAGCCUUAGGAACAUAACCAUAACUCAGCAAACCAAGGCAAAGAAGUGUCACUCGGUCCUCCAGCUGUGUGUUCCAGUAACACAAAGCCCACGUUCUUCGGGGACCAGAGAGAAAGCGAGGUGCAAGUCAGAAUUACAGCGAGUCUCUGGGGGAGCAGAUUUUAAAGCUCUCCCCAGAAUUAUUCCUGUAUUUUCAUGAUCACACAUAGCCACAGUAUCUUAAGCAGGACGCCCCCAUCGGACGAUGUCUGUGCGGACCGUUUUCUUUUUUUCUUUUCUUUUCUUUUUUUCUUGGUUUUUCGAGACAGGAUUUCUCUGUAUAGCCCUGGCUGUCCUGGAACUCACUUUGUAGACCAGGCUGGCCUCGAACUCAGAAAUCCGCCUGCCUCUGCCUCCUGAGUGCUGGGAUUAAAGGCAUGUGCCACCACCACCUGGCUGAGGACCAUUUUCUAGUGCUUGCCAGCUAGCUUCUUACUACUGUAUUCUCACUUGGCAGGAAGAGAGCAAGGGCUCCCUGGAGCCUCAUUUAUGAGGGUACAAAUCCCAGCCUCGAGGUCUCUACAUCUUGUGAUAUAAUUGCCUCUCAAAGGUCCCACCUUCCAAUACCAUGUCAGGAUUUCAGUGUGGAGCAUUCAGAGAUGGGGGCAGUAAGCCUUCAGUUGUAAUCUGUUCCUGGGAUGGUUGUAAGUCCGCUGUUGAGCGCUUCUCCAACCUGCCUGAGACAAGUUUGAUCUCCAGAACAAACAAGCCCAGCACAGCUUCUUCCUCCUUCUUCCGACUUUACCUUGUGUGAGGAGCCUUGCCGUUUUCAGUGAGUUAAUAAGGGUGCCAUUGUGCUAAGUGCUGGGCAGCGUGCCAAGCGCUUUGCAUAUCUUUGAAAACACAACCCUUUCAGCAGCCCUGUGGAGUGGGUGUGAAUGUUACACCCAUUUCGGAGUUGAGGAAGCCUGAGCUGAAGAGGUUGGGUGCUGUGUCCAAAGUCUCAAAGCAAGACAGAAGAGAGCCUGGUUUCGAGUGCAGGUGGCUUCUCAGAGCGAGGGAAGUGCCUACAUAGCCCAUUGUCCCUCACAGCCUGUCCAUGGGAAGCCCCAUGCAAACUAUGACUGUAUAUGGAAAGUGGCCAUUGAGGGAGAAAACUUGGCGGGGCCUCAAGCCCCACCCACUAGGCCUUAUCUAACUCCCCCAAGCCCGCUACCAGAGCUCUCUAGUAUCACUUGAAAUGUGUUCAUGUAGUGGAAAUAACAGGCUUUGGAGAUAAUGCGAAAAUGAUUCAGGCUUUCCCUCGAUGUCUGCAUGAUUUGGGGCUGUGACACUUGGAGUCCAUUUCCUCUUCCUCCUCCUCCCUUCAUGGUGUCUUUCUUCGUUGCCCACAAUGGGUGGACAGUUGGGGAGAAUUCCUUCAUCCUGAUGUCCAUAAACCUUUGUUCACGUGCCACCUCCUAGCCUGCAGUUGUCUGUCAGUGCUAGGAAUAUCCUUUGCACUUCUGCAUGCCUGGUACCCUCAGAUGCUUUACAAAGGGGAAAAGCACUAUCUUGGAUACAAGCCGACAGUCAUGAUCUUGGUGUAUAGGUCAUUCAAUCUAGUCUUUUAUUAUUAUUAUUAAGAUUUAUUUAUUAUGUAUACAGUGUUCUGCCUGCAUUUAUGCCUGCAAGCCAAGAGAGGGCACCAGACUUCAUUAUAGAUGGUUGUGAGCCACCAUAUGGUUGCUGGGAAUUGAACUCAGGACCUCUGGGAGAGCAGUCAGUGCGCUUAACCACUGAGCCAUCUCUCCAGCCCAGGUCAUUGAGUCUAAAUUGAAAAAUAAAAAGUGUGCUUGUGUCUUUGCGUGUGUGUGUGUGUGUGUGUUUCUGGGUAUGCACACAUGGCUGUGGUUGUGUGUCCUUGUCAGAAACUGGUAGAUGAAAACCAUUUCUUAUUCAGUACUCACAUCUGAUAUAUGCUUGUCAUACCAGUUUCAGCAUAAGGGCUGAUACUCAAAGAACACCAGACACAAGGAGAGGAUUGGAAUUUUCAGUCCCACUGGACUAGGGCUAGAGAUGGUACUAAUCACCAAAGCCCAGUGCAUUGAAUCAGUGCACGAUGGCACCUCUACAACCCCCCUGGGGGGCAGAACUGAGAUAGUCUGAGAGGGUCCAUGCAGUCACAGGCCAGGGGUACAGCCAUUUCUACAACACAGAAGCACCUGUGCUCAGCACCCCCUGACUUCACCCUGCACAUUUCUACAUGCUAGUAUGAUGCUCUGCCACAUCUUUUAUGACACCAUAUG